AUUGAACGCUGGCGGCAGGCCUAACACAUGCAAGUCGAGCGGAGCGGCGGACGGGUGAGUAAUGAUUAGGAAUCUGACUGGUAGUGGGGGAUAACGACCGGAAAUGGGAGCUAAUACCGCAUACUAUCAGAAGAGCCUAGGUCGGAUUAGCUAGUUGGUGGGGUAAAGGCAUACCAAGGCGACGAUCCGUAACUGGGCUGAGAGGAUGAACGGCCACAUUGGGACUGAGACACGGCCCAGACUCCUACGGGAGGCAGCAGUGGGGAAUAUUGGACAAUGGGCGAAAGCCUGAUCCAGCCAUGCCGCGUGUGUGAAGAAGGUCUUCGGAUUGUAAAGCACUUUAAGUUGGGAGGCGUUACCAACAGAAUAAGCACCGGCUAACUUCGUGCCAGCAGCCGCGGUAAUAC
rnacentral:rRNA from 1 species